AUUGAACGCUGGCGGUAUGCUUAACACAUGCAAGUCGAACGGUAACAGGCUCUAGCUUGCUAGAGUGCUGACGAGUGGCGGACGGGUGAGUAACGCGUAGGGAUCUGUCUAAUAGCUUGGGACAACACGGGGAAACUCGUGCUAAUACCAAAUACACUCUAAGGAGGAAAGGUGGGGGUUAAACCCUGUCGCUAAUAGGGGAACCUGCGUUGGAUUAGCUAGUUGGUGGGGUAAUGGCCUACCAAGGCGACGAUCCAUAGCUGUUCUGAGAGGAAGAUCAGCCAAACUGGGACUGAGACACGGCCCAGACUCCUACGGGAGGCAGCAGUGGGGAAUAUUCGGCAAUGGAGGAAACUCUGACCGAGCAAUGCCGCGUGAGUGAUGAAGACCCUUUGGGUCGUAAAACUCUGUUGUAGGGGAAGAACAACCAUUAUAGGAAAUGAUAAUGGUCUGACGGUACCCUGCCAGAAAGCCCCGGCUAACUACGUGCCAGCAGCCGCGGUAA
rnacentral:rRNA from 1 species